rnacentral:rRNA from 1 species
GCGGAGGGAUCAUUACCGAGUUAUACAACUCAUCAACCCUGUGAACAUACCUAAACGUUGCCUCGGCGGGAACAGACGGCCCCGUGAAAACGGGCCGCCCCCGCCAGAGGACCCCCUAACUCUGUUUCUAUAAUGUUUCUUCUGAGUAAAACAAGCAAAUAAAUUAAAACUUUCAACAACGGAUCUCUUGGCUCUGGCAUCGAUGAAGAACGCAGCGAAAUGCGAUAAGUAAUGUGAAUUGCAGAAUUCAGUGAAUCAUCGAAUCUUUGAACGCACAUUGCGCCCGCCAGUAUUCUGGCGGGCAUGCCUGUUCGAGCGUCAUUACAACCCUCAGGCCCCCGGGCCUGGCGUUGGGGAUCGGCGGAGGCCCUCCGUGGGCACACGCCGUCCCCCAAAUACAGUGGCGGUCCCGCCGCAGCUUCCAUCGCGUAGUAGCUAACACCUCGCGACUGGAGAGCGGCGCGGCCACGCCGUAAAACCCCCAACUCUUCUGAAGUUGACCUCGAAUCAGGUAGGAAUACCCGCUGAACUUAAGCAUAUCAAUAAGCGGAGGA